rnacentral:rRNA from 1 species
GACGUAGGGCGCGAGCGUUGUCCGGAAUUAUUGGGCGUAAAGAGCUCGUAGGCGGCUUGUUGCGUCGGCUGUGAAAACCCGCGGCUCAACCGUGGGCUUGCAGCUGAUACGGGCAGGCUAGAAUUCGGUAGGGGAGACUGGAAUUCCAGGUGUAGCGGUGAAAUGCGUAGAUAUCUGGAGGAACACCGGUGGCGAAGGCGGCAUCCUGGACCGGCAUUGACGCUGAGGCGCGAAAGCCAGGGGAGCAAACGGG